rnacentral:rRNA from 1 species
CGUCUAUAUACGUAUAGCAUAUCAAUAAGCGGAGGAAAAGAAACUAACAAGGAUUCCCUUAGUAACGGCGAGUGAAGCGGGAAGAGCUCAAAUUUGAAAUCUUCAAGGUUCUACCUUGACGAAUUGUAGUUUAAAGAAGUGUUUUCUGUUAGAGGAGUAGGCAAAAGUUCCUUGGAAUGGGACAUCAUAGAGGGUGAGAAUCCCGUAUUUGGUUAUUCUUUCUAGCUUUGUGAUACACUUUCAAAGAGUCGGAUUGUUUGGGAAUGCAGUCCAAAAUGGGUGGUAAAUUUCAUCUAAAGCUAAAUAUUGGCGAGAGAACGAUAGCGAACAAGUACCGUGAGGGAAAGAUGAAAAGAACUUUGAAAAGAGAGUUAAACAGUACGUGGAAUUGUCAAAAGGGAAGCGUUUGACACCAGUGUUGUUUUUCCGAAAAUCAAUUAAGAGUGGCUUGAUUUUGUGUUGUAUUGACCUUAUCAGCUUUCUUCACUCUUUUUCGAGUCUUUCUUAAUGCACUUUUCGGUUAACAAGUCAACAUCAAUUUCUUUUGUUGUAAAAGGGUAUUUGGAAGGUGGCUUUCUUUUCGGAGAAAGUGUUUAUAGCCUUAUACCUCUACAAUCGGAGAGAUUGAGGUCUGCAGCGUAGAUCCUUCGGGGCUAGAUACACUUGUGCUAAGUUAUAGCUUUUCAUAGACAACUUGUUGACUAUGUUUAGUCAUGUAGCUUACCCGCUUGUGCUAUUUUACCUACGCUUAGGAUGUUGAGUCAUCACACAUCUCU